rnacentral:rRNA from 1 species
AAUGAGCGUUGGCGGCGUGGAUUAGGCAUGCAAGUCGAGCGGGUGUAGCAAUACACCAGCGGCGAAAGGGAGAGUAAUACGUGGAUACCUACCCCCGGAUCUGGGAUAGCCUCGGGAAACUGAGGGUAAUACCAGAUAAUGUCUCCGGACCAAAGGUGUGAUUCCGUCCGAGGAGGGGUCCGCGGCCUAUUAGCUAGUUGGUGGGGUAACGGCCUACCAAGGCGAAGAUGGGUACGAGGCGUGAGAGCGUGUCCUCGCUCAUUGGGACUGAGACACUGCCCAGACACCUACGGGUGGCUGCAGUCGAGAAUCUUCGGCAAUGGGCGCAAGCCUGACCGAGCGACGCCGCGUGCGGGAUGAAGGCCUUCGGGUUGUAAACCGCUGUCAGUAGGGAGGAAAGGUUUGGGGGUUCUCCCCCAGAUUUGACCUAUCUGCAGAGGAAGGACGGGCUAAGUUCGUGCCAGCAGCCGCCGUAA